UACCAGCACCCCGAGUGGUCGGGACGUUUAUUGGGCCUAAAGCAUCCGUAGCCGGUUCUACAAGUCUUCCGUUAAAUCCAACUGCUUAACAGGUGGGCUGCGGAAGAUACUAUAGAGCUAGGAGGCGGGAGAGGCAAGCGGUACUCGAUGGGUAGGGGUAAAAUCCGUUGAUCCAUUGAAGACCACCAAUGGCGAAGGCGGCUUGCCAGAACGCGCUCGACGGUGAGGGAUGAAAGCUGGGGGAGCAAACCGG
rnacentral:rRNA from 1 species